rnacentral:piRNA from 1 species
UCNGUAGUAAGGUCAGUUUCGUGGUUC